rnacentral:tRNA from 1 species
GGGGGUAUGGCUCAGUGGUAGAGCGCAUGUGUAGCAUGCACAAGGUCAUGGGUUUCAUCCCCAGUACCUCUA